rnacentral:tRNA from 1 species
GCCUUUGUGGUGUAACGGUAGCGCACGUGGUGCGUAUUCGAGAGCUCCAGGUUCGAAUCCCGGCGAGGGCA